AUUGAACGCUGGCGGCAGGCUUAACACAUGCAAGUCGAGCGGUAGCACAGGGGAGCUUGCUCCCUGGGUGACGAGCGGCGGACGGGUGAGUAAUGUCUGGGAAACUGCCUGAUGGAGGGGGAUAACUACUGGAAACGGUAGCUAAUACCGCAUAACGUCGCAAGACCAAAGAGGGGGACCUUCGGGCCUCUUGCCAUCAGAUGUGCCCAGAUGGGAUUAGCUAGUAGGUGGGGUAAUGGCUCACCUAGGCGACGAUCCCCAGCUGGUCUGAGAGGAUGACCAGCCACACUGGAACUGAGACACGGUCCAGACUCCUACGGGAGGCAGCAGUGGGGAAUAUUGCACAAUGGGCGCAAGCCUGAUGCAGCCAUGCCGCGUGUGUGAAGAAGGCCUUCGGGUUGUAAAGCACUUUCAGCGAGGAGGAAGGUGGUGAACUUAAUACGCUCAUCAAUUGACGUUACUCGCAGAAGAAGCACCGGCUAACUCCGUGCCAGCAGCCGCCGUAA
rnacentral:rRNA from 1 species